AGAGAGAGACAUGCGCGCAUAUCAAUAAGCGGAGGAAAAGAAACUAACAAGGAUUCCCUUAGUAACGGCGAGUGAAGCGGGAAGAGCUCAAAUUUGAAAUCUUCAAGGUUUACCUUGACGAAUUGUAGUUUAAAGAAGUGUUUUCUGCUGGAGUUUUGGUAAAAGUUCUUUGGAAUAGGACAUCAUAGAGGGUGAGAAUCCCGUAUUUGACCAUUAUUUCAGCUUUGUGAUACACUUUCAAAGAGUCGGAUUGUUUGGGAAUGCCGUCCAAAAUGGGUGGUAAAUUUCAUCUAAAGCUAAAUAUUGGCGAGAGACCGAUAGCGAACAAGUACCGUGAGGGAAAGAUGAAAAGAACUUUGAAAAGAGAGUUAAACAGUACGUGAAAUUGUCAAAAGGGAAGCGUUUGACACCAGUGUUGUUUUCUCGAAAAUCAAUUAAAAGUGGCUCGAUUUUGUAUUGUUGAGACCUUAAAAGCUCACUGUACAUUUUUCGUGUCUUUCUUAAUGCACUUUUCGUUUAACAAGUCAACAUCAGUUUCUUUUGUUGUAAAAGGGUCAUUGGAAGGUGGCUUUCUUUUCGGAGAAAGUGUUUAUAGCCUUUGGCCUCUGCAAUCGGAGAGACUGAGGUCUGCAGCGUAGACUCUUCGGGGUUAGAUACAUUUGUGCUAAGUUAUAGCUUUUUAUAGACAACUUGUUGACUAUAAUUAGUCUUGUAGCUUACUCGCUUAUGCUAUUUUACCUACGCUUAGGAUGUUGAGUCGUAGAGCACGCA
rnacentral:rRNA from 1 species